UAGGGAAUCUUCGGCAAUGGACGAAAGUCUGACCGAGCAACGCCGCGUGAGUGAAGAAGGUUUUCGGAUCGUAAAACUCUGUUGUUAGAGAAGAACAAGGAUGAGAGUAACUGUUCAUCCCUUGACGGUAUCUAACCAGAAAGCCACGGCUAACUACGUGCCAGCAGCCGCGGUAAUACGUAGGUGGCAAGCGUUGUCCGGAUUUAUUGGGCGUAAAGCGAGCGCAGGCGGUUUCUUAAGUCUGAUGUGAAAGCCCCCGGCUCAACCGGGGAGGGUCAUUGGAAACUGGGAGACUUGAGUGCAGAAGAGGAGAGUGGAAUUCCAUGUGUAGCGGUGAAAUGCGUAGAUAUAUGGAGGAACACCAGUGGCGAAGGCGGCUCUCUGGUCUGUAACUGACGCUGAGGCUCGAAAGCGUGGGGAGCAAACAG
rnacentral:rRNA from 1 species